CCUACGGGAGGCAGCAGUGAGGAAUAUUGGUCAAUGGACGAGAGUCUGAACCAGCCAAGUAGCGUGAAGGAUGACUGCCCUAUGGGUUGUAAACUUCUUUUAUAUGGGAAUAAAAUGUUCCACGUGUGGGAUUUUGUAUGUACCAUAUGAAUAAGGAUCGGCUAACUCCGUGCCAGCAGCCGCGGUAAUACGGAGGAUCCGAGAGUUAUCCGGAUUUAUUGGGUUUAAAGGGAGCGUAGGUGGAUUGUUAAGUCAGUUGUGAAAGUUUGCGGCUCAACCGUAAAAUUGCAGUUGAAACUGGCAGUCUGGAGUACAGUAGAGGUGGGCGGAAGUCGUGGUGUAGCGGUGAAAUGCUUAGAUAUCACGAAGAACUCCGAUUGCGAAGGCAGCUCACUGGACUGCAACUGACACUGAGGCUCGAAAGUGUGGGUAUCAAACAGGAUUAGAUACCCCAGUAGUC
rnacentral:rRNA from 1 species